UACGUAGCUCUUCUAUUUCACAUCUAUAUGCCUGUCUAUAGCUGAUAAUGCUAUGAAUGUUCCCCUCCCUCCCGUGUAAAAAAUCCCCUUCCCCUCCCCCUCUUCCACUGAAACCCACCUUCCACCUCUCUCUUUGACAACAGAGCUCCUCUCCUAGAACUAACGUCGGCGUUUGUGAAGUGUUCGCCGUUACCCCGCCCUUCCGUAACCUUUCCCCUUCCCUUCUUCCACCUUGAAGCCCCCUAUCGUCCACCUUUCUCGUUGACGAAAGAGCCCCUCUCCCAGAACCAACUUCGGCGACGUUCCUUGACUGUUCGCCAUGACCCCGCCCUGCCGUAACCCUUCCCUUUCCCCUUCCCCUCAUGGUGUGAAAUCAUUUUAGUUUGUGAUAACGAAAGGCAAUCCAAAGGCUGCAUGAACUGAACACAAUGUCUGUAAAAAAAUAUCAACCUCCCUAUAACGAUCUGAGACAAAACAAAGAUUCCCAAGCUAGGGAUAGUCAGACCAAGUAUUUUGCAGAGUCAAUUGGUUCAACCUCUGAAAGCUGCUGAUGCGUAGCUCUCGAAGUGAUCUAGUCGUAUUUGAGAACAGAAGGCGUGGCAGAGAAGCCAUACAGAAGAGAUAUGCAAGAAAAACAUGAAGGAAUUGAGGAGGGCUGUUGUGGUGGGCGAAGGCUGUGAUGGGCGAUGGAACAAAAUGGGGGAGAAACAGCUUCGUGGGGACGACCGAAAUUGGUGGGUGCCACGGCAUUGUCCAGCUGUGGUGGUGACGGAUCUGGUUUGGUGCAACGGUGGUCUAGGUUUGGUGCGGUGGCGAUGGUCUCGAUCUGGGUUUCGAAUGUAAAGACGAAUGCACUUAUUUCUUUUCUCAAAUUUAGACUGAUAGUGUGAUUUAAUCAAAUGAAAUCAUAUUUAUUGUAUCUAGUGUAAAACUUCAUAUGUGGCAUGUUGUGAUUGGAGGCUGUAAAAUGCCGAACAUCGGCCAAACCGACCCAAAGAGGAACUAAUAUAUAUGUAUGAGUUUUGCUACAUACAAGUAAAAUCGCGUACUAAUCUGCGUACCAAUACUGAUUCCUU